CUCCCGAGCCCCCACGUAGAGAGUGCCUCCAUCACCACUCAAAAGCAGAGUGUCGAAAUCCUGGAGGCCCUUCUGGUGGAAGAGGCUGAGAACCCUGCGUCCGUCCCCUGUUGGGAGUUGAGGAGAAGGGGACAUUUCUACCACUAGAAUCACUGUCAUCAGCUGAACAGAGAGGAAACAUUCAUCCCCAAAGGCCCCUGUGGGCGUGCCUGGCUGGCACCUAUGUGGGGGCAGCGAGCCGGCCACCGGGAGGCAAGUGAGGCCCUCAUGGUCACCUCGGGGUGGCGGUGGUGCCGGGGGGAUGCUCCUGUCCCGCUGGUACAUCGGCAAGGGGACAGGCUCCCCCCCCUCCCCCCCAGGGCUGUGUUUGCUCGUCAGCCCUAGAGGCCUGUCCUGUCUAGCUAAGCGUUCCCUUUGGAAGCGGUGAGAAUCUCAGGGCCAAAAGGAGAAGUCGGCAAGGUGCUGGAAGGGGUGGCUCCCCCCAGACCUGCGCGAACCCCUCGGUUACUGGACGCCCCAUCCUGCGGCGUGAUCUCCGGGCCUCGCAUCUGCUUCCCGCGCAGAACCCGGAGGGCGGGCUGAGUACCAGCGUUGCUUAUGUUGGGGAUGCCAGCGCUGGACGCAGAGGCGUCCUCGCCAACAGCGGCCAGCGUGCGUGUCCUUUACCAGGUUGCCCCAGACAGAUACCAGAGACACAGCCGUGCCCAGGAGACCCUGCGCCUACGACCCCUGGCAUAUCCCUUCCUGAGCCUUCUGCCUGGAGCUGAGAGGGCGGGCGGCAGAGCGUCAGGGCCUGCACCCCAGCGGGCCACCCCGAGUCCUCUUAUUCCUGGCGUCUGGACGUGGCGCGGUCCAGCACCCUCUGUGUGGUUGUUGCGGGCCUGGUGUGUGCGGGGCCACCGGGUCCACGGAUGAUCUUCUGGCGUGGCUGUGGCUUUGCGGGCACGUGGGGGUGUGAAAGCAGUUAGGGGUUGGAAGUGCCCGGCUUGAGGACAGUGACACGUAAGGAGGGAAAGAAAAACCACCAGCCCUGGAGAACCACCCCGGCCCCUUCCUCUCCUCCCUUGGUCUUCCCCCUUAGUCUUCCGGCCGUGGCACAUAGUUUCCUCAUCCACCCCUUCCUCUGCCCCUCCCCUCCAGCUCAGCUUGCCGCCCUGCGCUACCUGGCCGUCGGACACUUACCUGCGUGGUAUAUGACCCUGGGUAGGGGCCCCUGCCCAGCGGCCCCCGCGGUCAGCAGCCGUGGCAGCAGAAACAGCCAGAAGAGGAAAAGGCCCGGGAGGCUCCAGGGGUCCGGGCCCGGGGCUAGGAGGGCCAUGCUCAGCCAGAGGCUGUCACCAGAUGGCUCUGCGGAAACAGACACCCAGACACCCUCUGGGUGCCUGAUCACUGCUGAACGCGGGACCCCACGUCUUCACUCUGCGCCAGGCCCGCAAGUGACGGAGCAGGUCCUGCCCCGGCAUCAAGCAAGCUCGUGGCCGCCAGGGCUCCUCAGCUGACCUUCCUCAUUGUCCACACAAGAAGCCAAGGCCAGCAGGGAAGUGUCUCGGCGGGGGCUGGGGUCUGCAGGGUUCAGGUGGGGCGGUGGCGAGAAGGGGCCAGGUGUUCAGGGCCCAGCUUUAGGGGCUGUGACAUUUCAUGGCACCGAUGUGGGGGCUCCCCAGCUCCUCUCUCCCCAGCCUGGAGACCCUCCCCCCCCCCCCCGCAAAACAACAAUGUCUAGCUCCACCCUGUCACCCGCUGAGGGUCCACCUUUUCUGGGGACUCCUCCCCUCUGGCCCCUAGACCACAUCGAACAGUAGCCCCAUCCUGCCAGGCUUUCUGGCCUUUGGUAGAGAUGUAGCUGUGGGGGUUGGAGUGGGGAGGGGAGAUGGAGACAUCGUCCUCGUUCUCCACCCUACCCUGUACUCACACCCCUGCCCCCUACCAUGUACUCACCCCCUCCGACCCUAACCCAUGCUCACUCCCCUGCACCCAUACCCUGUACUCACCCCCCUGCCCCCUACCAUGUACUCACCCCCCUUGGACCUUACCCCAUGCUCACUCCCCUGCCCCCUACCCUAUGCUCAACCCCCUGCCCCCUACCCUGUGCUCACCCCCCUGCCCCCUACCUUGUACUCACACCUGUCUGACCCUACCCCAUGCUCACUUCCCUGCACCCCUACUCUGUACUCAACCCCCUGCCCCCUACCCUAUGCUCACCCCCCUGCCCCCUACCCUAUACUCAACCCCUCUGACCCUACCCCAUGCUCAUUCCCUUGCACCCCUACCCUGUACUCACCCCCUGCACCCUACCCUAUGCUUAGCCCCCCUGCACACUACCCUAUGCUCAUCCCCCUGCCCCCUAUCCUAUGCUCAUCCCCUCUGCACCCUUACCCCAUUCUCA